ACGGCUCAGUAACACGUAGCUAACCUGCCCUCGGGUCAAGGAUACCCCCGGGAAACUGGGGCUAAUCCAUGAUAGGCGUGGAGGCCUGGAAUGGUUCCACACCCAAAUGCACGGCAGUCAUGUUUGUCAUGUGCCCGAGGAUGGGGCUGCGGCCGAUCAGGCAGUUGGCGAGGUAACGGCUCACCAAACCUUUGACCGGUACGGGCCAUGAAAGUGGUAGCCCGGAGAUGGGCACUGAGACAGGGGCCCAGGCCCUACGGGGCGCAGCAGGCGCGAAAACUCCACAAUGUACGGAAGUACGAUGGGGUUAUCUCGAGUGCAGUCCGAUAAGGGCUGCUUUUCCAUAGAGUAAUAUCCUGUGGGAAUAAGAGGGGGGCAAGACUGGUGUCAGCCGCCGCGGUAACACCAGCCCCUCGAGUGGUAGGGACUUUUAUUUGGCCUAAAGCGUCCGUAGCUGGCUGUAUCCGUUUCCCGGUAAAUCCGGCGUCUUAAGCGUCGGGCCUCGGGUAAUACCAUACAGCUUGAGGGUGGGAUAGGUGAGCGGUAUUUCUGGGGUAGGGGCGAAAUCCUUUGAUCCCAGGAGGACCACCAGUGGCGAAGGCUGCUUACUAGAACACGCCUGACGGUCAGGGACGAAAGCUGGGGCAGCGAACCGGAUUAGAUACCCGGGUAGUCCCAGCUGUAAACGAUGCUAGCUAGGUGUUGGGUCGGCCACGCGCCGCCCCAGUGCCGCAGGGAAGCCGUUAAGCUAGCCGCCUGGGGAGUACGGCCGCAAGGCUGAAACUUAAAGGAAUUGGCG
rnacentral:rRNA from 1 species